GUUAGCUCUCCAAACCCUAAAUUCUCAUCAUUUGAUGACAAAUUAAUCUAGUGUUUCAUUGAAAUUUGUUCUUGAUUUCUUCGUUCAAAGUCACAAUUAUGUCGAAGAACUGUUCUUCAUUACUUCUCUAGGGUUCACGACUAUUCAAUUUUGGUGUGUUGUUUUGGGUAAGUUUUGUAUUUUUGUUCUUGACGCUGUCAUGCUGUGUGAUUGAGUGGGGAUUUUGUGAUUCAACAAGACCCAUAUCACAUUCACUUCAGCCUCAGCAUUGAGAUGUGAAUGAGCUUUCCCUAUUUCAAUUCAAGGAGAUUCCAAGAGUAUUAGCUUGAAAUUCUUUAUGGAAGAACUGGUGAUCAUUUAGUGGCGUUCUACGUUCAAGGGUCAACAAGCUAAUGAAAUUGUCCGGGGAACUCAACCAAAGCUAUCCGGAAACAAGAUCAUGCUGACUAUUUUACUAGGAUGGACUUGUGAAUCAUAAUUUGCAAUAAUGAUCGGAAGAAAAACCAAGAUCAGCAGCCAGAACUAUGAGAAGCAAAGAAUGGAAGCAUCCAGCCUCUUACACCAGAUAAUAAUGUGUUCCUGCAGACAAAAAGCUAAUACAAAAUUUGUCCAGCUUUUUCCAUACCGCCACGAAAUAUAUAAUUCCUAUAUAAUUAAUUUGAUCUAAUUUAUAAUUCAACCGAUUAUUUUUCAACUAAUAUAUUAGUUGCGUAUUAUUACAAACUGGUGCAACCAGGAUAUUUUGAUAUACGGUUGUAGUAUGUAGAGUUUAAAUUCUAUGAAUAAGUUGGAGGUAAGGUAUAUGUCCCCCUCCUUGUAUUUUGACAUGUUAAUGAAAUUUGCAUUGGGGUC